rnacentral:rRNA from 2 species
UCGACGAACUCUGGUAUUGAUUGGUGCUUGCAUCAUGAUUUACAUUUGAGUGAGUGGCGAACUGGUGAGUAACACGUGGGAAACCUGCCCAGAAGCGGGGGAUAACACCUGGAAACAGAUGCUAAUACCGCAUAACAACUUGGACCGCAUGGUCCGAGCUUGAAAGAUGGCUUCGGCUAUCACUUUUGGAUGGUCCCGCGGCGUAUUAGCUAGAUGGUGAGGUAACGGCUCACCAUGGCAAUGAUACGUAGCCGACCUGAGAGGGUAAUCGGCCACAUUGGGACUGAGACACGGCCCAAACUCAUACGGGAGGCAGCAGUAGGGAAUCUUCCACAAUGGACGAAAGUCUGAUGGAGCAACGCCGCGUGAGUGAAGAAGGGUUUCGGCUCGUAAAACUCUGUUGUUAAAGAAGAACAUAUCUGAGAGUAACUGUUCAGGUAUUGACGGUAUUUAACCAGAAAGCCACGGCUAACUACGUGCCAGCAGCCGCGGUAAUACGUAGGUGGCAAGCGUUGUCCGGAUUUAUUGGGCGUAAAGCGAGCGCAGGCGGUUUUUUAAGUCUGAUGUGAAAGCCUUCGGCUCAACCGAAGAAGUGCAUCGGAAACUGGGAAACUUGAGUGCAGAAGAGGACAGUGGAACUCCAUGUGUAGCGGUGAAAUGCGUAGAUAUAUGGAAGAACACCAGUGGCGAAGGCGGCUGUCUGGUCUGUAACUGACGCUGAGGCUCGAAAGUAUGGGUAGCAAACAGGAUUAGAUACCCUGGUAGUCCAUACCGUAAACGAUGAAUGCUAAGUGUUGGAGGGUUUCCGCCCUUCAGUGCUGCAGCUAACGCAUUAAGCAUUCCGCCUGGGGAGUACGGCCGCAAGGCUGAAACUCAAAGGAAUUGACGGGGGCCCGCACAAGCGGUGGAGCAUGUGGUUUAAUUCGAAGCUACGCGAAGAACCUUACCAGGUCUUGACAUACUAUGCAAAUCUAAGAGAUUAGACGUUCCCUUCGGGGACAUGGAUACAGGUGGUGCAUGGUUGUCGUCAGCUCGUGUCGUGAGAUGUUGGGUUAAGUCCCGCAACGAGCGCAACCCUUAUUAUCAGUUGCCAGCAUUAAGUUGGGCACUCUGGUGAGACUGCCGGUGACAAACCGGAGGAAGGUGGGGAUGACGUCAAAUCAUCAUGCCCCUUAUGACCUGGGCUACACACGUGCUACAAUGGAUGGUACAACGAGUUGCGAACUCGCGAGAGUAAGCUAAUCUCUUAAAGCCAUUCUCAGUUCGGAUUGUAGGCUGCAACUCGCCUACAUGAAGUCGGAAUCGCUAGUAAUCGCGGAUCAGCAUGCCGCGGUGAAUACGUUCCCGGGCCUUGUACACACCGCCCGUCACACCAUGAGAGUUUGUAACACCCAAAGUCGGUGGGGUAACCUUUUAGGAACCAGCCGCCUA